rnacentral:lncRNA from 1 species
CCUCCCAUAUAAACUCCUUGUAAUUAAUCCAUUCAUCAAUGACUUAUGGAUGGCAGCUUCUGCCUCCUAUUCAAUCAAAAAAAGAAAAAAAGAGGAGACAUGCAAGGCUGGAUUUUGUCCCAUGCUAACUUCUAAGCCUACUCAUGCUACUUGUGGGUAUAAAAAGCAUUUCUAUCUUGUAAUGCUAUGAGUAAUUUUUGCAUUCCUUUUUUUUUUUUUGUUUUCACAAAGUUCAACUCAUUUCUUUUCGUUUGAUAAUAGGUA